rnacentral:rRNA from 1 species
UGGACCUCAGAUCAGGCGAGGCUACCUGCUGAACUU